rnacentral:rRNA from 1 species
UACGUAGGGCGCAAGCGUUAUCCGGAAUUAUUGGGCGUAAAGAGCUCGUAGGCGGUUUGUCGCGUCUGCCGUGAAAGUCCGGGGCUCAACUCCGGAUCUGCGGUGGGUACGGGUAGACUAGAGUGAUGUAGGGGAGACUGGAAUUCCUGGUGUAGCGGUGAAAUGCGUAGAUAUCUGGAGGAACACCGGUGGCGAAGGCGGCGUCCUGGACCAACACUGACACUGAGGAGCGAAAGCCAGGGGAGCAAACGGG